UACGGAGGGGGGCUAGCGUUGUUCGGAAUUACUGGGCGUAAAGCGCACGUAGGCGGCUUUGUAAGUUAGAGGUGAAAGCCCCAGGGCUUAACCCCUGGAAUUGCCUUUAAGACUGCAUCGCUAGAAUCGUGGAGAGGUGAGUGGAAUUCCGAGUGUAGAGGUGAAAUUCGUAGAUAUUCGGAAGAACACCAGUGGCGAAGGCGACUCACUGGACACGUAUUGACGCUGAGGUGCGAAAGCGUGGGGAGCAAACAGG
rnacentral:rRNA from 1 species